UCAGUCACUUUAGCUUCUCUAUUGAGAUCACAGCUCAUAAAGUUACUUCUAAGAAGCAGUGCCAGAACAUACACACCUCAUGGCCAACUGGGAUUUCAACCAGGACUCUGUGUCCUGGUCUAUCUACCCAAUACAUCACACUAGGCACCUCAGUUCUUGCCUAGUUGAGUGUACGUCCUCUUUUCUUCUUUGUUUAUUCACCCUCUCUUACCCCCACUCAAUCAUCUUCUCAGUCUUCAGCCACUAAGCUUGUCUAACAUUUCUGAUGUCCCCCAGUGACCCCUCUUUCUUAUUUACUUGCUUUUUCCUUUUCUUUCUGCGCUAUGUGCCAACUAGUUGCUUCCAAUUUAUGUUAACCCUAGUAGGAAUUUUGAGGCAUGUGGAGAUGAGUUUAAGGAGCAGUUUACCAUUGCCACUUUUCUGUGACGUUGCAUGGCCAAGCAAGGAUUUAGACCCAGGUCCUCCGAGCUGUAAAUAAAAACUGCUGGAUAAUUCAGUGGGUGGAGCCGAAGGUUGAGAGUUCAAUUCCCCACUGUGCAUCCUUGACAGGGGCUGGACUUGAUGAUUCAUAGGGACUCUUCCAGCUCUGCAGUUCUAAGAUUAUUAUUUUAUUAUUUGUCCAACAAGCCAACUCAUGUACUACAGUGGUUUCAAUUUUCAAGUUCUCUUUUGUGUUUUCUCAUUUGCUCUUCAUGUCACAGAUUCAUAGUCCAAAUAUCCUUUCAUUUGCAUCACAGAAGCUGCAUUAUGAUAUUGUCAUAUCAUAGCAGCUCAUCCAGUCUUGGACAGCAAAGGUGUUCCAAUAAUAGUUUAAGCUGCAUUGUUUCAGAUGUAAAGAUUCGGUCUUACUAGGCACAUGGAGUAAGCUGUGAAACAAAGCAUAGAUCAGCCUUUUUUUUCUCCCAUGCUGUUUAGGAUUGGGACAGUUAUAAUCAAGCUGCUUGCUUUUUUUGAAACAGCUGCCCUGAAAUGUCGAAAAUUUGAUGAGAACCUAAACUGGCCUGAUCCUCCCCCACGGAGUGGGGAAUGUGAAGCUGAUCCUGCAACACACACCUGCCGUGCCCGAAAGAUAUAUGAUCAAGAAGUGAUUCUUCGUCAAAUCAAAUAUAGCUGUGAAGCAAAGGAAACUGCAUUAUGUGGUGUUGAAUCGCUCUCCCCAACCAGGAAAGGUUCUCGAAUUGAAUUCUACUGCUGUGAGGAUGAAGACUUCUGCAAUGACAGCUUCAGCAAUAACUAACGCCAGUGAAUGCUGAAAAUCGUCUGUAGAUCCUCAUCAGAUAGAUGCUUGUAUCUCUUGUCCAUUUGUCUCUUCUUUCCAUUUUCAAUCCCCUUCCAUAUGCCUGCAUGAUUCCAUAUCUCAUAUGUCUUUAUAUCGCAUGUCUUCCACACCUGUAUGAUUCCAUAGCUGCACAAGUUAGACAAUUAUCACUACAUAAUGCUGUAAGUUCCCAUUAAAAUAUACAUAAAACAUGGAAUUAUGGAAUUAGAAGGGACCUAUAAGGCCAUCAAGUCCACCCUGCUGCUCAGUGUAGGAAUACAAUUUAAAGUAUAUUUGACAGAUGGUUGUCUAAUUUUCUCUUGAAUCCCUCCAGCAUGGGAGCACUCAUCACCUCCCAAUGUAUAGUAAUUGGUUCCAUUGUCGUAUUGCUCUAACAGUUAAGAAGUUUUCUGUGAUAUGCAUUCUAAAUCUGGCUUCCUGUAAGUCAAGUUACAGGAAGCCAGAUUUCAGCUGAAUAUCAGAAAAAAAAAACAUCUUAACUGUUAGAGCAGUAUAACAAUGGAACCAAUUUCUUUGGGAAGUGGCAAGCUCUCCAAUGCUGGAGGCAUUCAAGUGAAAAUUAGACAACUUUCUACAGUGGGGUCUCUACUUAAGAACGUCCCUACUUAAGAACAAUCCAACUUAAGAACAGCUCCAUUUGCUAAAUUUUGCUUCUACUUGAGAACAGAAAUCCAAGAUAAGAACAGGAAAAAAAACCUUUCCUGCUCUUUUUUUAACCUUAGGUCAUCUUAGGUUAAAAAAAAUUCUCCCCCUAGUGGUAGAGUACGUAUUAACCAGCUUUGCAUUAGUUCCUAUGGGAACUAAUGCUUCAAUGUACGAACGCACCUCUACAUAACAAAAAAACAGCCAGAACGGAUUAAUUGGUUUUCAGUCCAUUCCUAUGGGAAAUUUUGCUUCAACUUAAGAACGUUUCAACUUAAGAACACCAUUCCAAAACGGAUUAAGUUCUUAAGUAGAGGUUCCACUGUAGUUUCUAUGGACGGAAAAGAGCAGAUACGGAUUAAAUGGUUUUCAAUGCAUUCCUAUGGGAAAUGCAGAUUCAACAUAAGAACUUUUCAACUUGAGAACCACCUUCCAAUACGGAUUAAGUUCUUAAGUAGAGACCCCACUGUAUUAGAUAUGCUUUUAUUUGAAUUCCUGCAUUGAGCAGGUGAUUGGACUCAAUGGCCUUAUAGGCCCUUUCCAACUUCAUGAUUCUAAAAUAAGUCAAUCAUGACUUGGCUCUCUCUGUGUGUAGGUGUGUGUAAGUGUGAGUGGUGGAGGGGAGUGGCUUACUUUAAAAAUGUAUUGGUGUUGCUUUCUGGAGAUAUCAACUGAUAUUGAAUACUAUCUUACAGGCCCAGCCAGGUGUAUAUAUAAUCUUUAUCUAGUUCUCCUAGGAAAAGGGCAAGCAGGACAUCCUAAGAAAACAAUAAAAGUACUAAAACUACAUUACA
ensembl:lncRNA